rfam:Lactobacillus mixtipabuli DNA, scaffold: sequence31, strain: IWT30.
UAAAUUGAGAGUUUGAUCCUGGCUCAGGACGAACGCUGGCGGCGUGCCUAAUACAUGCAAGUCGAACGCAUCCCGCUGAAUUGAAGUGCUUGCACUGAUUUUCAGCAUUGGAUGAGUGGCGAACUGGUGAGUAACACGUGGGUAACCUGCCCAGAAGCAGGGGAUAACACUUGGAAACAGGUGCUAAUACCGUAUAACAACUGAAACCGCAUG